rnacentral:rRNA from 1 species
CCUACGGGAGGCAGCAGUGGGGAAUAUUGGGCAAUGGGCGAAAGCCUGACCCAGCGACGCCGCGUGAGGGACGAAGGCCUUCGGGUUGUAAACCUCUUUCAGCAGGGAAGAAGCGAAAGUGACGGUACCUGCAGAAGAAGCACCGGCUAACUACGUGCCAGCAGCCGCGGUAAUACGUAGGGUGCAAGCGUUGUCCGGAAUUAUUGGGCGUAAAGAGCUCGUAGGUGGUUUGCCACGUCGGAUGUGAAAACCUGAGGCUUAACCUCAGGCCUGCAUUCGAUACGGGCAGACUAGAGUGUGGUAGGGGAGACUGGAAUUCCUGGUGUAGCGGUGAAAUGCGCAGAUAUCAGGAGGAACACCGGUGGCGAAGGCGGGUCUCUGGGCCAUAACUGACACUGAGGAGCGAAAGCGUGGGGAGCAAACAGGAUUAGAUACCCUGGUAGUCCACGCCGUAAACGGUGGGCACUAGAUGUGGGGACCUUCCACGGUCUCUGCGUCGCNGCUACGCAUAGUGCCCGCCGUCGGGUAGGUACGGCCGGCGACGGACGUAAACCGUACAAAGGAAGUAGACGGCGUGAGACGUGCCGACGGACGACGACGAGGGAGGAGG